AAUUAUAAGGUCAACUACAUGACAUUCGAUUGUUGGUUUAUGUUAAUCAGAAACAGACGACAUAUCGAUAUUGCAGAGCAGAAGAAAAGUUGAAGGACUAGACAACAAUGGAGAACGGAGAGAUGGUAGCAGACACUAAUAAUACGACGCCGUUGUUGGAGGCAGGUGGUCAUGGAGGAACAAAAGGGGGGUGGUGGAACAAGGUGCUGGACGUGGAGGAGGCAAAAAAUCAGGUGUUGUUUUCGUUGCCAAUGAUUCUGACGAAUGUUUGCUAUUACAUGAUCCCUUUGAUUUCGGUCAUGUUUGCCGGCCAUCUUGGUGAGCUACAGCUUGCCGGUGCAACCCUCGCCAAUUCUUGGGCCACCGUCACCGGCUUCGCUCUCAUGGUUGGAUUAAGUGGAGCUCUGGAAACGUUGUGUGGGCAAGGAUUCGGCGCAAAGUUAUAUAGAAUGCUGGGGAUUUAUCUACAAGCCUCUUCCAUCAUUUCUUUCCUCGCCUCUAUCAUUGUAUCCGUAGUCUGGUUCUAUACAGAACCAAUACUUAUCUUAAUUCACCAAGACCCUCAAAUCUCAAAAUAUGCAGCGCUUUAUAUGAAAUUUCUGAUUCCAGGGUUGUUUGCAUAUGGCUUCCUGCACAAUAUUUUGAGAUUUCUUCAGACACAAUCCGUUGUCAUGCCAUUGGUCUACUUCUCGGUGAUCCCAGUGGUUCUUCAUGUUGGCAUUGCGUAUGGCCUGGUAUAUUGGACAGGUCUUGGUUACGUGGGAGCUCCGCUGGCAGCUUCGAUUUCAAUAUGGAUAUCAAUGCUAAUGUUGGCCACGUACGUUUUGUGCGCAAAGAAGUUUGAGCAUACGUGGGAAGGGUUUACAUUAGAAUCAUUUCAUUAUGUCCUCACCAACUUGAAACUUGCCCUACCCUCUGCAGCAAUGGUAUGUUUGGAGUGUUGGGCCUUUGAGAUUCUGGUGUUCAUGGCAGGAGUAAUGCCAAAAGCUGAACAAAACACUUCCCUAAUCGCAAUCUGUGUGAAUACAGAAGCAAUUGCAUACAUGAUUACAUAUGGCCUCAGUGCUGCUGCAAGCACAAGGGUGUCAAAUGAAUUGGGAGCAGGCAAUCCUGAGAAAGCCAAGAAUGCAAUGGCUGUGACUCUUAAGCUCUCUAUACUUCUCGCGCUCAUUGUUGAUCUGGCUCUGGCAUUUGGUCACAAUGUAUGGGCCGGCGCCUUCAGCGACAGCAGCGUAAUAAUAAAACUAUUUGCUUCCAUGACACCGUUGCUUGCAAUUUCUAUAAUUGCUGAUUCUUUCCAAUGCGUCUUAUCAGGUGUGGCCAGAGGAUGUGGGUGGCAGCACCUGGCUGUGUAUGUAAACUUGGGAACAUUCUAUUUGGUUGGCAUGACAAUUGCAGGUGUUCUUGCAUUUAAGUUGAAACUACAUGCUAAGGGGUUGUGGAUUGGUUUAAUCUGCGGUCUUUCUUGCCAAACUGUCCUACUUUUGGUGGUCACGCUGCGCACAAAAUGGACUCAACUGGAUUUACCUCGUAACGCAGAUGCAAUUUUGGUCUAAAUGGUCACACAAAACUAGUUCACAACAUAGACCGCAAUGGCAACCAUUUUAGACUAGAUUAUGGAAUUUUGAGGAAGUUAUAUAUUGCAGAGAAAAAUAGUCUCUGGAUGCUGGAGAAGAUGCAUGCAUGUUUCCAUUAACUGGUUGUUCUGGCAAGCAAUUUCCUAUAGCAGUAAAAUUAAGCAGCCAGUUGGUACUCUCUCGAAUUCUUGACGACACGCACGGUUGGUUCCAAUGGCUAGGAAGCCAAAGAAACCAUCAUUUUUCAAGAUCCUCUUUGGUGACUUCUCUCAGGGUCUGCGUAUACCACCUACGUUUAUUAGGAAGAACUUCAAUAGACGACCACUUUGCAAAUGUGACCUUAGAGGCCCUACCGGAAUACGAAGAACUGUGGAAUUGGAAGACAGGGAGAAUGGCUUAUUCUUCCGCAAUGGUUGGCAGGGUUUUGUGAAGGACAAUCAUUUAGAAUCUGGGGAUCUUUUGGUUUUUGAUUAUGAUGGUGAAACAAAGUUUAAUGUCAAAAUCUAUGAUAGGAGUGCGUGCGAGAAAGAUGUCGAAGCAGCCAAGAUGAAUACAGAAAAUCAAGCUAGAGUAAAAGAUGAAAAUGUUGAUCUUGACACCGAAAACUAUAACAAAGAGCGUGAAAUCAGAACGACUAGCAGAAGUUGCAAUUACCUCAUUUCUAGGAAAAGACAUUAUUAUGUAGAAGAUACAUCAACUGGAUCUGUCUUGUUGAAAUCGGAGAAUAAAUGUUUUCUAGCAUUUUCAUACAAGAAACAUUUACUACAACGCGUGUUUCACGGUCAAGUUUCAAGCGAAGUUAUCCAAGAUGUUCCACAUUGCAGAGGAUCCCGAAGCAACUAGCCGUAGAUGAAGGCCUUAUGUCAAAGAAUACUGUAACGCUUCAAGAUCCAGCUGGGCGUUCAUGGCUUAUUCAACUCAGAAUCAGAAGGCCUAAUUCUACUGAUCACUUGGACAUUUCAACAGGUUGGACAGACUGCGUGAAGGCGAACCGAAUUUCACCCGGGGACACCAUGAUUUUUGAGUUUGUGAAGCAAGGUUUGAUGCGUGUUCAUAUUUUCAAAAAAGGAGCAGUGAGAGGCAAUAAGUGUCGUGUGGUGCUUGCUGGCCCUAAUGUUAAAGCUGAAAGCUAGUUGAUCCCAGAGUUUCACGUCACAAAUUUACCAUCCUUUGUAAAAAUGUUGUGUUCUUGUAGCCAAGUAGUGUUCUUGUAAAAAUGUUGUGACUGCAGUAUUACUAUUAGCUUAUCUAUUUUGGUUGAAGGAUGAUGUUAUUUAAUUUAAUUACCCCAGCCACUCUUCUGUCUCUAA